GGUCUGCUGCGCGGUGCGUAACGGCAGCUAAUGUCCCUGGGGCGAUAAUGAUCCUCUUGGGAGCUGUCCCUGUCGGGAUCGUGGUUCCGACACAUGGCGCCCACCUGACCUGUCAGGCCACGGAGGACUUACAAGCCAACGGCCGAGGCGGCGCCGC
rnacentral:other from 1 species